GCUUGUCUCAAAGAUUAAGCCAUGCAUGUCUAAGUAUAAACAAAUCUGUACUGUGAAACUGCGAAUGGCUCAUUAAAUCAGUUAUAAUUUACUUGAUAGUCACUUUAUCAUUGGAUAACCGUGGUAAUUCUAGAGCUAAUACAUGCAUAAAACCCUAACUUCUGGAAAGGGUGUAUUUAUUAGAUGGAAACCAAUGCGGGGUAACCCGGAAUAUGGUGAUUCAUAAUAACUUUCGGAUCGAUUUAUCGAUGCAUCAUUCAAGUUUCUGCCCUAUCAGCUUUGGAUGGUAGGGUAUUGGCCUACCAUGGCUUUAACGGGUAACGGAGAAUUAGGGUUCGAUUCCGGAGAGGGAGCCUGAGAAACGGCUACCACAUCCAAGGAAGGCAGCAGG
rnacentral:rRNA from 1 species